UCCUCGGUAGUAUAGUGGUGAGUAUCCGCGUCUGUCACACAGUGCGAGACACCGGGUUCAAUUCCCGGCUCGGGGAG